rnacentral:rRNA from 1 species
GACGAACGCUGGCGGCGUGCUUAACACAUGCAAGUCGAACGAUGAAGCGGUGCUUGCACCGUGGAUUAGUGGCGAACGGGUGAGUAAUACGUGAGUGACCUACCUUUGACUCUGGGAUAAGCCUGGGAAACUGGGUCUAAUACCGGAUACGACCAAUCUCUGCAUGGGGUGUUGGUGGAAAGCGUUAUGGAGUGGUUUUAGAUGGGCUCACGGCCUAUCAGCUUGUUGGUGAGGUAAUGGCUUACCAAGGCGACGACGGGUAGCCGGCCUGAGAGGGUGACCGGCCACACGGGGACGGAGACACGGCCCAGACCCCUACGGGGGGCAGCGGGGGGGAAUAUUGCACAAGGGGGGCAAGCCUGAUGCAGCGACGCCGCGGGGGGGAUGACGGCCUUCGGGUUGUAAACCUUUGUUAGCAUCGAAGAAGGAAAAGGGACGGGAGGUGCAGAGAAAGCCGCGGCUAACUACGU